rnacentral:rRNA from 1 species
GACGAACGCUGGCGGCGUGCCUAACACAUGCAAGUCGAACGGGGUAAAGACUUCGGUUUUUACUUAGUGGCGAACGGGUGAGUAACGCGUGAGAAACCUGCCUUUCAGUGGGGGACAACAGUUGGAAACGACUGCUAAUACCGCAUAAUGUUAUUUGGGGGCAUCCCUGAAUAACCAAAGCUUGAUGUGCUGAAAGAUGGUCUCGCGUCUGAUUAGCUAGAUGGCGGGGUAACGGCCAACCAUGGCGACGAUCAGUAGCCGGUCUGAGAGGAUGAACGGCCACAUUGGGACUGAGAUACGGCCCAGACUCCUACGGGAGGCAGCAGUGGGGAAUAUUGGGCAAUGGGGGAAACCCUGACCCAGCAACGCCGCGUGAAGGAAGAAGGCCUUCGGGUUGUAAACUUCUUUUACCAGGGACGAAGAACGUGACGGUACCUGGAGAAAAAGCAACGGCUAACUACGUGCCAGCAGCCGCAGUAAGAC